GAUGAAGAACGCAGCGAAAUGCGAUAAGUAGUGUGAAUUGCAGAAUUCAGUGAAUCAUCGAAUCUUUGAACGCACAUUGCGCCCUUUGGUAUUCCAAAGGGCAUGCCUGUUCGAGCGUCAUUUGUACCCUCAAGCUUUGCUUGGUGUUGAGCGUCUUGUCUCUAGCUUUGCUGGAGACUCGCCUUAAAGUAAUUGGCAGCCGGCCUACUGGUUUCGGAGCGCAGCACAAGUCGCACUCUCUAUCAGCAAAGGUCUAGCAUCCAUUAAGCCUUUUUUUUUCAACUUUUGACCUCGGAUCAGGUAGGGAUACCCGCUGAACUUAAGCAUAUAAUAAGCGGAGGA
rnacentral:misc_RNA from 1 species